GAGUCACGAGGAGGGCGGCCCGGCCGCGCCUCUAGCCCCGGCUCGGGCCCUCAGCCCUCCGCCCCGGCCCGCAUACAACGCUGUCUGCACCGCUCCCCUGCCUUCUUCCGGGCUCCCAGAGCACCGCUAUGGAGAUGCUCUCCCGGCAUUUGAGGAAGAAUUGAUUGUCCUCAUCCUGCAACUGUACUUGCCCAACCGAUAUUUAUUGAUGCCUGCAGUGUCCUGGGUGCCUACCAAGGGGCACAGAACUGGAUCCGACGCAGACCCUGCCUGCCUUCAGGUUGCUUGAAGAUGAACAGAGAGAUCGGACCUCUGCGAUAUAAGCUUAUGAGAGCCGAGACUUUUAUCCUCCCCUGCUUAUCUCCAGUGUGCAGAACAGACACCUGAGUAAAAUUAUUAAAUGAAAGAAAUGAACGUAAGGAGUUUUUAGACGGAAUGACAUUCAAAGCAUCUGUGACACUUUCAGAGACAACAUAGCACAGUACUUUCACAGAGUAGUCCCUUAAGACUUGCUGAAGUUUAUUUGCAAAGAGGUAAACUAUUAUCUGAACCCCAAAUAGGUAGCAAUUCAAAAUUACUAGCCUUCUUUCUUCUAAGACCCAGGAGUUAUGCUCCUAGAAUUUUCCUCUAAACUUUGCUUCUGUCCAAAGGGCAGUUACCAAUUUAUUUCCCACUUCCCAAACUUCCUAGUUUCAUAUGACCCAAGUCCUCAUCCCUGCGAACAAUUCCAUUCUACACCCUUGAAUAUCCCAGUGAGUUGAGUGACACAUAGCAGGCAUUCAAAUUAGUGCUAAGCCAAUAAAGUAAACUGUACCCUACCCCUUGAAAUCCUCCUGUUUCCAACACUUUACUCAUCUACUUAACUUAGAUCUUGAAGCCACGAAUGAAGAGAUACAGCGUUAACAGUAAGCUUUCAUUUUAAAAAGUGAAAACAAUGUAACCACCUUGAUAUGCCCUCGAGCUCUUUAAGCUGUAAUUCUACUUUAUGAAAUAUACACAAAAUAAGAAUUGACACAGACAGACUAAGGAAUGGGGGCUGAAAAGCCACAGCCAAAUUCGCUAUGAAUCUCCUACUUUGGGGAUUAGGCUCACUCAGCUACUUCAUAGCCCACUUGGAAAUUCGGUCAUUUUUCCAGUUGCUCUUUGUUGGAGGGAAACUUUCUUAACAAGAUUCUGAGGACUCCAUAAAAACCGUAAGGUGGGAGGAAUUGGGAUCUGAAGGUCCUUGGCAAACAUGUCCACUGCGGCUGCUGGAGGCAAAGCAACGGAAGUUGAAGAGACUUUGCAACAGCUGCAAGAGUUUCACUCCCGGUGCGGAGAAGGGUAGCGGAGCUAGGCUACCCCACCCGGGCGGCGUCCAGCAGCCAGGUCCCUGCUGAACCCCGAGGCCCACCUCGCUGGACCCCGGACGGGCCCCAUCUGUUUCCCCUCCUUCCCCACGCUACGGCCCGCUGGGGAACGGGGCAGCGCCGGGGAGCACGACGAGGGCACGAGGUACCCUCUCCUAGCCCAGGCUCACCCUUGGUCAGCGUGUCCAGCACCCCCGACUUCUCCAAGUACCUCCGGAACUGCUCACGCUUCGAGUCGGCGGCCUGAAGAGACACCGGGGGUCAGUGGCCAGAGCCCGGGAGCCGAGCAGGAAGAAGGCGCUGGGAGUCCGGCAACCCCGCCUCCGCCUCACUACCUCGGGGCCCUCCCGCCCAAACCUGCGCGCGCGACCCCACUCCCACCCAGAGCCGACCAGCGGCUUGCUACCGCCCGCAUGCCCCCAGCCACGCCGCGCCCCCCUCACUUUGUAAUGGGCCAUAGUGACAGCGGCAGCGGCGUAGCUGGCGCCGGAGACCGCGACUGGCGGGUUGGGAGCAGCACUGCUCAUGCGCGGAAGGGGGCGCGCGCCUGCGCACUUGCAAACCACCGGCCGGGAUCGCCGAGGUGUGGCCUGUUUUCAUGGCGACCAGGACGCUCUGCAUCCCCAGUAGCAGGCUGAGCCGAGGGAGGCUGCGUAUGCCCGCCCCUCUGGCUGUCGGAGCCGCACCUCUUCCUCUUCCGGCCCCCGUAGCAAUUAGGUUUCUUUGCAGGAGGUGAGAUUUUGGUACCUCUGUCCUGGCGUCCGGAGGCAGGGCCCGGGAGCAUUGAGACUAUUGCGAGAGAAAGGACCGCCGCACGGUGGUAGCGAGCGCAUCUUUUUCAUCUGGGACCUCGGAAACUGUGGUGACCCAUAGGUGCUGGGCUUCUUGGCUCUCGUCCUGAGAAAGUGCUCACAGUGCUUUGCAGUAGCCGAGGAGGGUGUUUAGAAUCAUAUAUUUUGGCUUCAGCUUUUAUCUUUGGAGUCUCCUUGAGUCGUGGCUGACUUGAUGUGGGCCUCUGGAGGAUGAGCAGUAACGAGCUUGCAGUAGCUUUUGAGCCAGGCACUGUAGAAAACACGGGUAUUUUAAAUUUUAAUCCUUACAACACCCCUGUAGGGUGGGUAUUGUUAAUUAAGUGGAGUGGUUAGAUGUCCAGUGAGUAGAGUCGAGUCCAAUCCGGGCAAUGAAUCACGAUGCUAUGAACUGGUGAAGGAAAGCCACGGAUCUUCUUAAGAUUUUAUUUACUAGGUAGCAACAUGUGAUUAUACUCAAGACACAUCAGGAUGCCAGUCUAGAAGGAAACUUACGUGAUUGUGUUCCAGGGGCAAACAGAAUUAACCCAGUGUCCAAGGUGGAAUUGUAUAGAUCAAGAACCAUUUCCUAAGGCUGUGGUCUCUUCAAAGAGAAAACCUGAUCAAACCAUUUAGCCUCAAUUCUGAACAUGUGAUUUUCCCAAAAUCAGUUACAUUCGAAAGGAUAUCAUUUAAAAAAAAAAAAAUCCUGAUUUGACAACUCUAUGUCUUUGAAUUUAGAAGUGUUGCUUCACAAUCUCGAAUUAGAGCUGUUUUUCUCUUGCUUAAAUGAGUUUGCAGUUGUCUGUCUUAACAGCUGGUCUUUAGAGCUGCCCCUAUCUAUUUUUUCUGUGCCCCACGACCACUAGGCUACUUCUCUGAUAAUAUAUAUAAUGUCUAAAAGCCAACCGCUGUUUAGAUCUGAAGAUCUGUGGGAACCCGCCUACCAAUGAGAUUGUUCGUUAGGGACACUACGUGAUUUGGAGGACAAACAGGAUUAUUACAGGUUCUGACCAACCCUGGCUCAAAGGACAGCCCUCCCAAAGAAUCAGCAGUGUUUGGAAUGUCAAGUGAUUGAGAAUCUCCUUGUGAAGGAGGAAGGGUUCUGACUGUGCCCUUUCUGAACUGGCCCUUGAGGUUACCUUUAGGAGGUGACCCCCGGUUUUCAUGUUCUGUAGAGGAACCCCAUGUAGCUCUAAGCCACCGCGGUUUCCAAUCGCAGUUAGCUGGCAAGGAGAAAACUGUUUGGGGUGACUGCCUCAUGUUGUUCUCUCCAUCUAUAGCAACACCUGGAAUAGAACGGUGACCUCUAGAGUAGUAGUUCCUUUUGCUGUCUUUGCCUUCAGUUUCUCUUUUUUCCAUUAACUGGUUACCAUUAAGUUCUUUUCCAAAUAUUUUAUGAGUGUCUUUGUUAUUGUUUGAACUGAUGUGUUGAAAAUGACUACAACUAGUACUAAGUGUGGAAAUCUCAUUAGAAAGUACAGUUUCCUGUUCAUCCAAAAUGCAUUUCUCAUCAUUUACACUAUGAUUGUCAGGAUUUGGCUGGAAUACAGAAGAUGAAUUUAAACUAGGGUACACUGCAGUGUGUGUUUGCUUUUCCACUAACAGAUUAUAAUCAGGGGCAGAAGGGAGUCGCUUCAGUGAAUUUGCAGAUGUGCUCUGGUAUUUGGCUACAUUUUGUUUUGCCUUGUUUGCAUGGAAUUCAUUAUGUUCCUUCUUCAACUUGUAUUUUCCCCAAAGCCCUCUUUUAAUCUUUUUAAAACCUAGGUGGAAAAUUUCAAGAAUGUUUAAGAAAAGUGAAAUAGUGGCUAUAGAUUGCAUAAAUAAUAGGAAUAUUGUCUUUUCUGUUGGUCUUGAGACAAAACAGUCGAUUAUAUUUGGACACGGGUGGCCAUGGCACUUAAAUAGCGGCUCUAAGUGAAAUCCAUAUAAAAGGUACUGUCCAAUCAUGAAUCCAACUUCAACCACAGAGCGAGUGAAAAUGUGUAUCACAUAAGUGCAAAGCAAGGUUCCUCUGAGUGGAGCUUUAUUUAGUUUCCUUUUCUCCAGCUGACAAAGCUCUUGCUCCAAUCUCCUCCGAUCCCUAGGCAUUUCAAACUCUACCUCCUCCAGUUCUACUCUUAACUGAGCUUUCAUCCUUUGCCUCUCUUCCUCAAGAACUCUCAGUCGGUACAAUGCAUGGCCCAUGUAGACCAGGGAUGGUGAAGACACAAAUAUCACCUGCAGAACCCAGUAUCUAAUGAGGGAGAUAGGAAAGGCCUGGUCGUAGCAUACAUUUCUGCAGCCUGGUUGUUCUGUAUUGCAGAUGAAGCCAGACUGCUCAUCAUUCCAGACAUCUUCAGCUGCUACACCCAGAACAAGCAUUCGAAAUAUGAACAGGAUGGUGAGCCAGAUCUUUCCAAUCAUGGUGGAGUGGAUGUGAACUUCCUCCAGAGUAUCUCCAAGGAGAUUCCAGUCCCCCAUGUUUAUUUAGUCAGCCAUCUUAGCUCUGAUCCACAUCAAAUAAGAGGCAGAUAAAUUCUUCCAUUCUGAAGGGAGCACUAUUUCUUAAAGCAAACCUAUGGUGAAAAUAUAACAAUAUGUCACUUCUAUAUGCUGGUUGCUUUACUUUUUCCCUAGAUAGCUGUGGGGUUUUUUCUUUGUUUGUUUGUUUGUUGAGACAGAGUCUCCCUCUGUUGCCCAGGCUGGAGUACAGUGUUGCAACCACAACUCCCUGCAGCCUCAACCUCCCAGACUCAAGCGAUCAUCUCCCCUCUCAGCCUCCUGAGUAGCUGGGACUGCAGGUGUGUGCAACUACACCCAGAUAAUUUUUUUUAUUUUUUUGUAGAGACAGGGUCUCACUCUAUUGCUGCAGCUAGUCUUAAACUCCUAGACUCAAGUGAUCCUCUUGCCUUCACCUCCCAAAGUGUGGGAAUUACAGGUGUGGGUCACCACACCUGGCCAAAGUGUGAAUCUGUUACCAAUAAUAUACUUAAAUGUCAGGAAUUUAAAAUCACUUAUAUUUAGACAUCACAAUACAAUGAAAAAAACAUGAUACCUGGAGGAGGAGUGUAUAUAUUCUCUAUUAAGAAUAUAGGCUGGGCGGGGUGGCUCACACCUGUAAUCCCAACACUUUGGGAGGCCAAGGUGGGUGGAUCAUUUGAGGUCAGGAGUUCCAGACCAGCCUGGCCAACAUGGUAAAACCCCGCCUCUACUAAAAAUACAAAAAUUAGCCAGGCGUGGUGGCAGGCGCUUGUAGUCCCAGCUACUCGGGAGGCUGAGGCAAGAGAAUCGCUUGAACCUGGAAGGCAGAGGUUGCAGUGAGCUGAGAUCAAACCCUUGACCUCAGAUGAUCUGGCCACCUCGGCCUCCCAAAGUGCUGGGAUUACAGGCAUGAGCCAAUGCGCAUGGCCUAAAAUUAUAUUCUUUUUUUUUUUUUUUUUGAGACGGAGUCUCACUCUGUAGCCCAGGCUGGAGUGCAAUGGCAUGAUCUCAGCUCACCGCAACCUCCACCUCCUGGGUUCAAGCGAUUCUCCUGCCUCAGCCUCCUGAGUAGCUGUGAUUACAGGCAUGCACCACCAUGCCCGGAUAAUUUUGUAUUUUUAGUAGAGAUGAUGUUUCUCCAUGUUGGCCAGGCUGGUCUCGAACUCCUGACCUCAGGUGAUCUGCCCACCUCGGCCUCCCAAAGUGCUGGGAUUACAGGCGUGAGCCACCAUGCCCAGCCUAUUGUUGUUUUUCAACAGAACUUUUGGAAAGGUUUCUAAAACUAGUAACCUGAUCUUAACCUUAUUUAUUAAGAUUAUUUGAUAUAAAAGUUAUAACAAAGUCAAUUUCUUUUUCCCCAACAUGCCAUUACUGGCUUGAAAAGUCAGUGAUUUUUUUUUCUUUCUUUCUUUCUUUUGGGACAGAGUCUUGCUCUGUCGCCAGGCUGGAGUGCAGUGGCGCAAUCUCGGCGCAUUGCAACCUCCGCCUCCUGGGUUCAAGCGAUUCCCCUGCCUCAUCCUCCUGAGUAGCUGGGAUUACAGGCGCCUGCCAACACCCCCCGGGAUAAUUUUUUGUAUUUUAGUAGACACGGGGUUUCACCAUGUUGGCCAGGAUGAUCUCGAUCUCCUGACCUCGUGAUCCACCCGCCUCAGCCUCCCAAAGUGCCAGGAUUACAGGCAUGAGCCACCGUGCCCGGUCAAAAAGUCAGUGAUUUUUAAAUCUCAUUUAUACACAUAGGAAAACGAAUAUGCUUCAUUUGAUAAUUCAGUAAGAUAUGGCAUUCAGUGAAACCAGAGGAAACAGAUCUGGCUGUCAUAGGAAUUUAGAUUAGUUUUUUUAAUCCAAAUUGAAAUAAAUUUGAAAUAAAUUCUGGUUUCUUCCUGGCAAUUGGUGAACAUUUUCAGAAAUUCAUCUCAGUAAUAUUUAUGAAUAUGUAUAAAGUACUUAUUAUACUUUACUAUGAAAAAGUAUACUUUUUUUCUUUUUUUUUGGUGGGGGGAGACAGAGUCUCACUCUGUUGCCCAGACUAGAGUGCAGUGGCAGGAUCUCAGCCCACUGCAACCUCCACUUCCCAGGUUCAAGUGAUUCUCGUGCCUGAGCCUGCCAAGUAGCUGAGACUACAGGCAAGUGCCACCACGCUUGGCUAAUUUUUGUAUUGUUAGUAGAGACGGGGUUUCACCAUGUUGGCCAGGCUGGUCUUGAACUCCUGAACCUUGAGUGAUCCACCCGCCUCGGCCUCCCAUAGUAAGCCACCGCGCCCAGCCCAAAUUUUGUAAAUUCUUACGUUAAAAUGAACUUCAAGCCCAGCACAGUGGCUCACACCUGUAAUCCCAGCACUUUGGGAGGCCGAUGCGGAUCACCUGAGGUCAGGAGUUCGAGACCAGCCUGGCCAACAUGGUGAAACACUGUCUCUACAAAAAUACAAAAAAUUAGCUGGGUGUGGUGGCAGGCAUCUGUAACCCCAGCUACUCAGGAGGCUGAGGCAGGAGAAUCACUUGAACCUGGGAGGCAGAGGUUGCGGUGAGCCAAGAUCGCGCCAUUGCACUCCAGCCUUGGCGACAAGAGCAGAAACUCUGUCUCAGAAAACAAAAAGAACUCCAAAAAUUCUCAACUAUUUUAUGGUACCAGAAUCUUUUUUUUUUUUUUUUUUUUGAGACGAAGUUUCCCUCUUGUUGCCCAGGCUGGAGUGCAAUGGCACAAUCUCGGCUCACCGCAACCUCCACCUCCCAGGUUCAAGUGAUUCUCCUGCCCCAGGCUCCAGAGUAGCUGGUAUUACAGACAUGCGCCACCAUGCCCAGCUAAUUUUGUAUUUUUAGUAGAGAUGGGGUUCCUCCAUAUUGGUCAGGCUAGUUUCGAACUCCCAACCUCAGGUGAUCCACCUGCCUCGGCCUCCCAAAGUGCUGGGAUUACAGGCGUGAGCCACUGCGCCCGGCCUUAUGGUACCAGAAUCUCAUUAUAGAUAUUACUUGCAAUAGAUUGUUCACUGGUAUGGUGGCAGUAUUAUGGAAACUUUCACUGUAGCAGUAUUUGACCUAUUUAAGACAUAUAGCUGCUCUCUUGAAGGAAGCAGUGGGGCAAGUUAUAAUUUAGCUGCUUGGAUUAUUUGCCGGCAGAUUGCAUAUUAAGGUUGGUAUCCCAGGUUAUCUCAGAGGAAAUAUACCCCAAAGGAAAGAUUUUAAAAGUGAAUAUUUUCAUUAUUUUUCAUUUAAAAUAUAAAUGUAUGUCCUGUCCCCUUUAUAUAAAGGGAACUGUUACACAAUCAAACAAACUACUAAGAUACAAGAUGUGUUCAUCACUAAAAUCCUAUGCGGUAAGUAUGUUGUUUCCCCCAUCUUACAGAUGAGGAAACGGAAGCACACCUUAAUUUACCUGAGGUCACACAGCUGGAGCUGGCAUUCAAACCCAAUCAUUGUGGCUUUAGAGUCAGCUCCUUAAAUUUUUUACUAAACUAUUAUUUUUCCUCUGUAAGCAAACUUCAAAUUUGCCGGAAAGAAACAUUAAGAGAUUAUCUGUUUUCUCUUAAGUUUAAUCAUUUAAAUUUAGGAAUGUAAAAUAGUGAUAGCUUUGGCUUUUUAAAUAACUAGUUCUAGAGUCUUUAGUUCCUUUCUUCAGCCUUUGUUCUGUUUUUUUUGUUCGUUUGUUUUCUGAGACGGAGUCUCGCCCUGUCGCCCAGGCUGGGGUGCAGUGGCGCGAUCUCGGCUCACUGCAAGCUCCGCCUCCCGGGUUCACGCCAUUCUCCUGCCUCAGCCUCUCCGGGUAGCUGGGACUACAGGCGCCUGCCACCACGCCCGGCUAAUUUUUUUGUUAUUUUUAGUAGAGACGGGGUUUCACCGUGAUCUCGAUCUCCUGACCUCGUGAUCCUCCCGCCUCGGCCUCCCAAAGUGCUGGGAUUACAAGCGUGAGCCACCGCGCCCGGCUCUGUUAAUACGAUUUGCAAAAGCAUCAACCUUCUAAAAUAUAGUUGUAUUCCUGAAAUAGAGAAACUUUCCAUUGACUUUAUUAUGUUAAUAAUAGCAUACUCUGGCCGGGCACGGUGGCUCACGCCUGUAAUCCCAAUACUUUAGGAGGCCGAGGCCAGCGGAUCACUUGAGGUCAGGAGUUUGAGACCAGCCUGGCCAACAUGGUUGAAACCCUUGCUCUACUAAAAAUACAAAAAUUAGUCGGGCGUGGUGGCGGGCGCCUGUAGUCCCAGCUACUCGGGAGGCUGAGGCAGAAGAAUCACUUGAACCCAGAGGCAGAGGUUGCAGUGAGCCGAGAUCACACCAUUGCACUCCAGCCUGGGCGACAGAGCAAGACUCUGUCUCAAAAAAAAAUAAAUAAUAAUAAUAAUAAUAAUAAUAAUAAUAAUAAUAAUAGCAUACUCUGACCCAACAACCCAAAGCACUUUAAAAUGUAAGCAAGUUGGCCAGGCGCGGUGGCUCACGCCUGUAAUCCCAGCACUUUGGGAGGCACAGGCGGGCGGAUUACGAGGUCAGGAGUUCGAGACCAGCCUGAGCAACAUGGUUGAACCCCAUCUCUACUAAAAAUACAAAAAUUAGCCGGGCAUGGUGGCACAUGCCUGUAAUCCCAGCUACUCAGGAGACUGAGGCAGGAGAAUCGCUUGAACCUGGGAGGUGAAGGUUGCAGUGAGCCGAGAUCUGGCCACUGCAUUCCAGCCUGGGCAAUAGAGUGAGACUCUGUCUCAAAAAAUAAAAAAAAAGUAAGCAAGUUAAGUCUCAUUUAUGGUUCAUAAAUAAUAAUAAUGUAAGCAAAGAUGUAAUUCAUGUUGUUUAUAAUAGUCAUAAGCUAAAAACAUAAAAUAAUAAUACAAGAAAAACUGGUUAAAUAAUCGACUACAUCCACGGUGUGAUACUAUGCAACCAGUAGAAAUGAUAAACAUACAUAAAAUGGCAUUUGAUAUUUCAUUUCAGUGAAAUUGAUGUUAUAAAAUAGAAUAAUAUGGCCCCAUUAUUAUAAGUUUAGUUACAUUUACAGAUGUAUACAAAAAAGUCUAGAAGGAUAUUCAUGAAAAUAUUAACGGUGAUUAGCUCUGGAUGUUGGGAUUACAAAUUAUAUACUUAAUAUAUUGUAAUUACAUGUAUUUUAAUUUUUUACUAUAAGCAUUUUACUUUUAUAAUCAUAAAAAGAAAGAAAAUAUUUUUUUCAUAAAGGACAACACAUAGUAUUUCCUGAAAGAAGGAGCAGUAGUAUUUAGCUACAAAUUAAAGCUUUCAUAGCAAAUGACAUAAAAACUGGUAUACAUAUAUACAGUACCAUAGAAUUCAAAAGAAAAAGAUAAAAACAUUUCAAACAACUCUUUCUUAAUAAGCUAAAACAGAGAGAUUAACACAAACCUUUCUUAGUUUAGGUAAAUCUGAGAAGCAAACCAUGUUUAGAAGUUACAGCAUGGCCAUCUUCAAUUUAUUUUCUGAAUUUGUCCCUUUGCUGGUAUAGAGCAGAUUCAGUUCAGUUGAAUGUAGUGAGUGAGUCAUCCAUCAACUAAAAUCCAUGUCCCUUUCUGCUUAUCCUUGCUUUUAAAACAGCACCAUCCAAUAGAACUUUCUGCAACAAUGGAAAUAUUCUAUCUGUGCUAGCCAAUAAGGCAGCCAGUAGCCAAAUGUAGCUAUUGAACACUUGCAUUAUGGUUUGUGUGUCAGAGCAAUUGAAUUUUUAAUUUUAAAUAAUUUUAAUAAAAAUGUAAAGAGCUGCAUCUACCUAAUGGCUGCUUUUUUGGACAGCACAGAUAAAGAAUGCUUAUAAUAGUCCUGAUAACACACUGCAAUCUAGAAGACUAAAGUCAUGAGCCCCAAAUUAAGCUGAGUGAAUGAUUCCUCCAUAAUUCAGAGAUGUCAAAUUUAAAAUGACAGGAGGUAUUUGUGUGCUGUUUGUAUGCAACUUUUGCCACUGGGGGAACCUAAUAAAAUGUCAUUGUUUUUUGUGCAAUAAACCAUGUUUCUAGAACCAAAAAAGUCUUUCUUACUAGAUAAUAACUUCUUGGUCAUCUGCCUUAAUAAAUGGGUCAUGUCCGAUUUCAUAGAUAGAUCCUGAUUCUGUCUCCCAUGUUCUGUUAUUAACAAUUACAUUGUAUUUUAGGUCAUUAAAGGUCCCUUCAGAGCUAGUGAUCUGGCAGGUUGAGCAUAACAGAUAAAUACUUCUUCCCUGGGCUUUUUUGCCAACAAUAGCUACUUCUCAGAUUAAAUACAAACAUUUCACCAGGGACAAAUAUAUAUAUAUAUAUAUA
rnacentral:lncRNA from 1 species